UGGGGAAUUUUGGACAAUGGGCGCAAGCCUGAUCCAGCAAUGCCGCGUGCAGGAUGAAGGCCUUCGGGUUGUAAACUGCUUUUGUACGGAGCGAAAAGGUCUGCCCUAAUACGGUGGGCUCAUGACGGUACCGUAAGAAUAAGCACCGGCUAACUACGUGCCAGCAGCCGCGGUAAUACGUAGGGUGCGAGCGUUAAUCGGAAUUACUGGGCGUAAAGCGUGCGCAGGCGGUUAUAUAAGACAGAGGUGAAAUCCCCGGGCUCAACCUGGGACCUGCAUUUGUGACUGUAUAGCUAGAGUACGGUAGAGGGGGAUGGAAUUCCGCGUGUAGCAGUGAAAUGCGUAGAUAUGCGGAGGAACACCGAUGGCGAAGGCAAUCCCCUGGACCUGUACUGACGCUCAUGCGCGAAAGCGUGGGGAGCAAACA
rnacentral:rRNA from 1 species